rnacentral:lncRNA from 1 species
UUGAACUCUUGACUCUGCCAAAUCCUAAUUAAGUAACCCUAAGGCAAUUUACUUAACCUUUUUAUGUCAGCCCUGGUCCCACAGUCAACAAUUGGCAUACUUCAAAGUGUGUAAUUGAAGGGAACAUAACAAGGGUGUGCAGGAUUCAGGAAGUAAUGGAGAGUAAUGAAAAGCCAGAACUAGCAACAGCAGGAAACUGUUUCCACCUGGGGCCUGAAAAGAAAAGGAGGGGGAAAGGUGUAACCAUGUUACAGAGACAGCUGGAGACACAGAAGUGGGACCACUAACUUGAACUAUGGUCAUGAAGAAAGUCAGUUCCUGCCAGAACCUUAGCAAGGCUUUUUUUCCUUGAUGUGAUUUUUCUACUCCGAUUUAAUGAAUUAAAAAGUGAAGCAAAUUGGAAAAUGAAAAUGGUGGAAAAUACAAGUGUAAUUUCUUUGGAUACUUUUAUAGAUAAUGUUAGAAGGACUGACUAUUACUUGAAGUACCCAGCAUCGUCUUCAACAUUCUCCUCAAAUCCUGCCACUGUGCAAGCAUUAUUCUUUGUAUUCAUGAACAUUUUACAUUAUUCCAUGAUGAAGAAUCUAUACCUCUAGAGAAGCCUGCUAUGCUCAUCUUUCUGGUCAUGAAACAUAUCUGUUAUCAGUGCUUUAAAAUGGACCAUGUGAGCACUGGGUAUUGUAUAUUCUCUGGUGUUGCCCAAACUUACUGUUUGAAAGCUACAGCACUGAAUUAUAUUUCUGUCCUGGAGAAAGCUAUCAACCUUGGAACACUCUUUUCUCUGAACCCCAACAUUUCUAAAAACUUCUUUAUUCUAAGAAAGAGAAGGUAAGUGUGUCUUAUUUUGUUGAGAAAAACUCUGUAGAAGAGGUAGCGUAUUUAUCCAACAUUUCCCAAUAGGGAACAAAACAAAAAGAAAAACAAAACUUAGACUUGACAAUUCAAGGUAAGUUGAAAGUUACAAGGUUUGUCACAAACUAAGAGGCAAAAUAUUCCUGAUCUUUAAAAUUAUUGAACAAUGUUAAGAAGUCUUCUAUGAGGUCAUGACAUAUAAAUAUCUGAGCAGAGAUCAGAUGUCUGGUAUGUAUAAGAGAACUUUCAUAGAGUCUGAGAGACUUGGCUGCAUCUAAGUAGUGUGUUCAUUAGUAGGGGGUGAAUGACAAAAAAAAUAGUCUACUAAUUUAUGUGGAGGUUAAUUGUGGUUUAGAGCCAACAGUGCCUGGUUAAUACAUCACAGCUCAGAGCCUAAAUUAAUUUGAUUAAAAACCAUGUUGUUUUUGCAAAUUAAUUUUCUCCACGUGUUGCUUUCUGGUGUGUCAAGACACAGCAGUGUCCUGAUUAAAAACUCACUAGUUCAGUAUAUGUGCAUAUCUUUGACUUAGAAAAAAAAUACAAAACAAAACCGUAAACAAGGCGCUUGUAGUUAUUUGCAGUUGUACUUUUAGUGCCCAACAUCCCAUCAAUCAUUCUACGCAGAGGAACAAUUCCACCUUGGUGUACCAGAAAGUUUGUACAAGUUCACAGGGACCACGUUGGCAAGGAUUGACUGCAGUCUACCUCAAGUCUGUAAAAUACCUCGUAUUCUCUGAAACAGGUAGGGAAAGAUAACAAGCUUGGUGAGGAGUUGCCACGAGGUCAUUUCUCAUCCACCUCUUUACCUCGAGGAAACUGCCACAAGUUGUUUCUGGUCCAUCUCCCUAGUUUCAUUUGAACUCAAGACUUUCACCUUAUCCUUCUCUAAUGCUUUAAAAAAACUUCUUGGCUUAGUAUUCAGCAUUGACUCUUCAAUGUCAGAGCAAACUACCAAGCAUGCUGCAUGUUUCCUGGCCUUUUUGAGUUAGUAUCUUCCUGUGGGUCUUGGGACACAGAAGCUGACAAAAUGCUGACCUUGCCACUGCCAGCUGUGUAAGUAAUAAAUUGUCUGAAUUCAUAUGGGAUACUGUCUCC